rnacentral:rRNA from 1 species
UACGAAGGGGGCUAGCGUUGCUCGGAAUUACUGGGCGUAAAGCGCACGUAGGCGGAUUUGUAAGUCAGGGGUGAAAUCCCGGGGCUCAACCCCGGAACUGCCUUUGAUACUGCGAAUCUCGAGUCCGGAAGAGGUGAGUGGAAUUCCUAGUGUAGAGGUGAAAUUCGUAGAUAUUAGGAAGAACACCAGUGGCGAAGGCGGCUCACUGGUCCGGUACUGACGCUGAGGUGCGAAAGCGUGGGGAGCAAACAGG